rnacentral:ribozyme from 1 species
UGCCCAGCAACUCCUAUCCCUAUACCUCUUCGUGGUACCGGCCGGAAAUUUCAAUUCAAUUCAAUUCAAUUUAUUGGAAAAAAAG